rnacentral:lncRNA from 1 species
CACGACUUACGAAGCUGGAAAGGUUGGGUUGAAUCUCGUCUCCGGACACUAAUGUUGAAGGUGAAUCUAUCAUUCUGCAUGAUCAUUUUAUGCAUCUGUCACAUGUUUGGGCUUGUUCCAGUAUGACUUUUCUGAAAUCAAGUAUUUGCUAAGACCUGUUAAAGGAGCAACACUUUGAAUCUAAAUUUCUCCAUUGCACAGAUUGAGAAGCAAACUUACAAUAUGCUUCAGUGUCACCCUCACCCCGGCGAAUUCUCCGACAAAUCUAAGCCUUUACACCAUUGUUACUUCAUGGGCUUGCAACGUAAACAAGGAGUUCC